rnacentral:rRNA from 1 species
AUUGAACGCUGGCGGCAUGCUUUACACAUGCAAGUCGAACGGCAGCGCGGGCUUCGGCCUGGCGGCGAGUGGCGAACGGGUGAGUAAUACAUCGGAACGUGCCCAGUAGUGGGGGAUAGCUCGGCGAAAGCCGGAUUAAUACCGCAUACGACCUGAGGGUGAAAGCGGGGGAUCUUCGGACCUCGCGCUAUUGGAGCGGCCGAUGGCAGAUUAGCUAGUUGGUGGGGUAAAGGCCUACCAAGGCGACGAACCGUAGCAGGGCUGAGAGGACGACCAGCCACACUGGGACUGAGACACGGCCCAGACUCCUACGGGAGGCAGCAGUGGGGAAUUUUGGACAAUGGGCGAAAGCCUGAUCCAGCAAUGCCGCGUGUGGGAUGAAGGCCUUCGGGUUGUAAAGCACUUUUGGCGGGAACGAAAAGGACUGUGCCAAUACCACGGUUCGAUGACGGUACCCGAAGAAUAAGCACCGGCUAACUACGUG